CCUUGUACACACUGCCCGUCACACUAUGGGAGCUGGACAUGCCCCAAGUCAUUACCUUAACCGCAAGGAGGGGGAUGCCGAAGGCUGGGCUAGUGACUGGAGUGAAGUCGUAACAAGGUAGCUGUACUGGAAGGUGUGGCUGGAUCACCUCCUUU
rfam:Picea glauca, whole genome shotgun sequence.